CGUGUUCACAGCGGACCUUGAUUUAAUUUCAUAGAAUUAAGGCACGCGGUGAAUGCCA
rnacentral:pre_miRNA from 1 species